rnacentral:rRNA from 1 species
AGCUACAUACCUACCGCAUUAAUAAAUAUCUGAUUUUUCUUAAAUCAGCCUUAGCUGUAAAAAUUGUAAUUAAAUAUUAAUCAAAAAACAAUUUUUAAAAAUAUAAAGGGACAAGCUUUUAUAUCAUAUUCUAUAAAUAAAACAUAAAGUAGGCCUAAAAUCAGCCAUCUCAAAUCACGUUAUACUAAAACUUAAAUCUUAAUUUCAUCAAGGAAAAGAAAUAUAAAUUCUAAUAAAAAAUUUAACAACAAUGCAAAGACUAAUAUAAAUCAUAUAUAACAAUCAUAACCAUAAUAUAUACCUAAGGAACUCGGCAAAUCAGAUUCCGACUGUUUAACAAAAACAUAGCCUAAUGCUCUUCUAUAUUAGGUAAACUCUGCCCAGUGAAUAUUCAACGGCCGCGGUAUCCUGACCGUGCAAAGGUAGCAUAAUCAUUUGCCCCUUAAUUAGGGGCUAGUAUGAACGAGUUAACGAGAUUCUAACUGUCUCAGGUAUAAAAAUAUAAACUAGCCUUUAGGUGAAGAGACCUAAAUUAAUUUAAAAGACAAGAAGACCCUGUCGAGCUUUAAUAUAUUAAAGAAUAAAAAUAAAUACUCUUUACUAAAUAUUUUUGUUGGGGCGACAAAGGAAUAUAUAAAUCUUCCUAAAAUAAAAGACUCCAAGUCAAUCCUCUGACCCAU